rnacentral:rRNA from 1 species
UAAGGCAGCACCGCUCAGUAACGCGUAGUCAACCUACUUUUUGGACGGGAAUAACCUCGGGAAACUGAGUAUAAUGCCCGAUAGAACACUAUACCUGGAAUGGUUUGUGUUCCAAAUGAUUUAUYGCCAUAGGAUGGGACUGCGGCCUAUCAGUUUGUUGGUGAGGUAAUGGCCCACCAAGACUAUUACAGGUACGGGCUCUGAGAGGAGUGGCCCGGAGAUGGGUACUGAGACACGGACCCAGGCCCUAUGGGGCGCAGCAGGCGAGAAAACUUUGCAAUGUGCGAAAGCACGACAAGGUUAAUCCGAGUGGUUUCUGCUAAAGGAACCUUUUGACAGUCCUAGAAACACUGUUGAAUAAGGGGUGGGCAAGUUCUGGUGUCAGCCGCCGCGGUAAAACCAGCACCUCAAGUGGUCAGGAUGAUUAUUGGGCCUAAAGCAUCCGUAGCCGGCUCUGUAAGUYUUCGGUUAAAUCUGUACGCUUAACGUACAGGCUGCUGGGAAUACUGCAGAGCUAGGGAGUGGGAGAGGUAGACGGNACUCGGGAGGAAGUGGUAAAAUGCUUUGANCUCUCGAYGACCACCUGUGGCGAAGGCGGUCUACCAGAACACGUCCGACCGUGAGGGANGANAGC